GACGAACGCUGGCGGCGUGCUUAACACAUGCAAGUCGAACGGCAAGGCCCUGCUUUUGUGGUGUGCUCGAGUGGCGAACGGGUGCGUAACACGUGAGUAACCUGCCCUUGACUUUGGGAUAACUUCAGGAAACUGGGGCUAAUACCGGAUAGGAGCUCCCGCUGCAUGGUGGGCGUUGGAAAGUUUCGGCGGUUGUGGAUGGAGUCGCGGCUUAUCAGCUUGCUGGUGGGGGAGGGGCUUACCAAGGCUUUGACGGAUAGCCGGCAUGAGAGGGUGGACGGCGACCUGGGGACUACGAGACGCCGCAGUGGCGUAUGGGAGGCAGUAGGCGGGAAUAUUGCACAGUGGGAGGAAGUCUGAGGCAGCGGCGCUGCGUGCGGAAUGACGGCCUUCGGGUUGUGAACCGCUGUAGCUUGUGACGAAGCUGUAGUGACGGUAAUGGAUAAAGAAGCACCGGCUAACUACGUG
rnacentral:rRNA from 1 species